GCAUAUCACUAAGCGGAGGAAAAGAAACUAACCAGGAUUCCCUUAGUAACGGCGAGUGAACAGGGAUUAGCCCAGCACCGAAGCCUGUGGUUAUUUGACUACUAGGCAAUGUGGUGUUUAGAUUGGUUCUUGGCAUUUUUGCUUUGUCCCAAGUCCAUCAAUGAAUGUGGCUAAUGGACUGGCCCAAAGAGGGUGAAAGGCCCGUGGGGAUAAAGAUCAAGUGUGUCGAAAGUGCUUUGAAUCUUUCUUGGAGUCGGGUUGUUUGAGAAUGCAGCCCAAAGUGGGUGGUAGACUCCAUCCAAGGCUAAAUACUGGCACGAAUCCGAUAGCAAACAAGUACCGUGAGGGAAAGUUGAAAAGUACUUUGAAGAGAGAGUAAACAGUGCGUGAAACCGCUCAGAGGUAAACGGGUGGAGUUGAACUGGAAUCCUUGGCAAUUUAACUGAUGAGUAUGGCUUGUGCUUGUUCAGGCAUGGUGGCUAAUAUGCGAAGUCUGCUUAAUGACAGGCUUGGACCCUUUCGGGGGUUUAAGUGCACGCGGCACUGGUCAGGUGUUGUGCGCUUCGUUUAAUUUGGGUCAGCUUGUCAGUGCAAUUUGUCAGGGUGAUCACCACGACCGGCGUGGUUGCCUGUUUGUUGUAACCGAACCGAUCAGAUCUGGUCAUUACGGCUAGUUUUGGUAGGGAUGGCAGGUAGCUUGCUGGCUUCUUUAUGGAGUUGGUAGGUGUUAAUUAAUUAGCCGGUUGCAAUGAAUUUGUGCAAUAUGUCGGAGAUGACGGCCGUGUAUGCUUUGUUUGAUAGAUUUGAGCGAGUUUGAUUGGCAUGUACUUGUUAAGGCAGGUCUGUCAGUAGCUUGUUUGAGUUUGUUGAAUGAAUGCGUGCAACGAAUUGUGGCUUGGGCCUAUAGUCUGUGGUGUAGUGGUAGACUAUCCACCUGACCCGUCUUGAAACACGGACCAAGGAGUUUAACAUGUGCGCGAGUCAUUGGGCGUUACGAAACCCAAAGGCGUAAUGAAAGUAAAGGUUUAAACUAAGGUAAGAUCUCGUUGUGUCCAAUGAUCUAUACAAAGCAUUGGUAUGGCGAGCGCAUUACCAGCCCGUCUCAUGGUGUUGUCAUGAAGUUUAGUCUUUGUGCGUCAUCGGGGCGGAGCCAGAGCGUACACGUUGAGAC
rnacentral:rRNA from 1 species